rnacentral:rRNA from 1 species
GAUGAACGCUAGCUACAGGCUUAACACAUGCAAGUCGAGGGGAAACGGCAUCGAAAGCUUGCUUUUGAUGGGCGUCGACCGGCGCACGGGUGAGUAACGCGUAUCCAACCUGCCCAUCACUUGGGAAUAACCUUGCGAAAGUAAGACUAAUGCCCAAUGACAUCCCACGAAGGCAUCCGAAUGGGAUUAAAGAUUUAUCGGUGAUGGAUGGGGAUGCGUCUGAUUAGCUUGUUUGCGGGGUGACGGCCCACCAAGGCAACGAUCAGUAGGGGUUCUGAGAGGAAGGUCCCCCACAGUGGAACUGAGACACGGUCCAAACUCCUACGGGAGGCAGAAGUGAGGAAUAUUGGUCAAUGGGCGAGAGCCUGAACCAGCCAAGUAGCGUGCAGGAUGACGGCCCUAUGGGUUGUAAACUGCUUUUAUAAGGGAAUAAAGUGGGUCACGUGUGACUUUUUGCAUGUACCUUAUGAAUAAGGACCGGCUAAUUCCGUG